UUAACCAAUUUGUCUAAAACACAGUGUAAGGAGCCAUCUAAUGGGUCCAGAGUUCUGCUUUGAACUGAGUCAGCAGGGUCUCAUGUUGGCUAUAAUUUCUCCCUGAAGCAUCCAAGUGUCCACUUGACUUUGGGGGCCAAGAGAGGGGCCUGGGAUAUGGGGCUAAGGCCAGGCAGUGUGGCUGGUUGGAGAGGAUCCGCUUGGCACACCCUUAAUUUCCAAGGGAGAAAUCAACAGGCUUCCUCAUGCUGUCUAUGGAGACCCCAAGGCCCAGAGAGGGUUUGUGCCUUACUCAAGAUCACACAAAGUCACCUGGGCAGGCAUUUUGAGUGGAAGCUUCUACCCUGCGCUGCACAGAUCAUGAAGGCAGCUCACAUCCAGACUCUACCUGGAAUCAACAACAGAAGCUUAUUGUGUCCAUUUCCCAGUCUGCGAAACUGAGACCCAAGGAGUGGAAGGGGCUCACCUCAACUCCUGAAUGGAGUUAGGGCAGGUCAGUACUAGAAUGACCUCCCCCAAUGUUUCUGGAAGGUCUUGAAUCUUAAGGCAGACUUUGUAGCCUUUCCUCCCCUGAUGGCUUCUCUCCUCCUGGCUUCCUGCAGCCAACGAUUUGAAGUCGCAGCUUCUGAGGGUGACAGCCUGGUGAUCUGGCAUCUGGCGACUUCUCCAGCCCCACUGCCACGGUCCAUUUGUGUUCUAGCUUCACAGAACAUCCUUCUGGCCUCUGCAUGUGACUUAGAUUUGUUGCCCAUGUCAGUCCCUCUGCCUCGUAACUGCUUUUGAGGAUGGGGAUGGUGGGGACAAGGGGAUGAAAGUCAUAAAUGGGCAAGUGUGUAGGAGGGCUGGACUAGGUUGAAGCAAGCUGGAUGCCCAAGGUACACAAUGUAAGGAGGUGGUGAUGAUGGUUUAGUUACUAAGUUGUGUCCAUCUCUUGUGACCCCAUGGACUGUAGCCUGCCAGGGUCCUCUGUCCAUGGAAUUCUCCAAGCAAGAAUACUGGUGUGGG